UACGAAGGGGACUAGCGUUGUUCGGAAUCACUGGGCGUAAAGCGCACGUAGGCGGAUUCGUAAGUCAGGGGUGAAAUCCCGGGGCUCAACCUCGGAACUGCCUUUGAUACUGCGGGUCUUGAGUCCGAUAGAGGUGGGUGGAAUUCCUAGUGUAGAGGUGAAAUUCGUAGAUAUCGGCAGGAACACCCAGGGGGAAACCAGUCGACUGGGCAUCUACUGACGCUGAGGUGCGAGAGCGUGGGGAGCGAACCGG
rnacentral:rRNA from 1 species